rnacentral:rRNA from 1 species
AGCGAACGCUGGCGGCAGGCUUAACACAUGCAAGUCGAGCGGGCAUCCUUGUGGUGUCAGCGGCAGACGGGUGAGUAACGCGUGGGAACGUGCCCUUCGGUUCGGAAUAACUCAGGGAAACUUGAGCUAAUACCGGAUACGUGCGAGAGCAGAAAGGUUUAUCUGCCGAAGGAUCGGCCCGCGUCUGAUUAGCUAGUUGGUGAGGUUAUGGCUCACCAAGGCGACGAUCAGUAGCUGGUCUGAGAGGAUGAUCAGCCACACUGGGACUGAGGCACGGCCCAGACUCCUACGGGAGGCAGCAGUGGGGAAUAUUGGACAAUGGGGGCGACCCUGAUCCAGCCAUGCCGCGUGAGUGAUGACGGCCUUAGGGUUGUAAAGCUCUUUUCUCCGGGACGAUAAUGACGGUACCGGAGGAAUAAGCCCCGGCUAACUUCGUG